CGCUGGAGUUCACGUAGUGGCCAAUUGGCGUGAGGAGGAGGGCAGCCUCAUAGGCCCCGCCCACUCCUCCCCUUUCUCCCGGCCCCUGCCCCGCCCUAUCUCAGAGGAGAGGAAGAGGCAGGGCCAGAGGGGUGGGGCCAACGUAGUGCAAGUAGAGGGCGAGACUUGAAGAGAAAGGGCAAGUAGGCCGAGAACUGAAAAAUCCAUCCUUCCCUAGUCUGACUCCUCGGGGUAAGGAAGGAGUUGUUUGUUGGCUUCCCACAGUUCUCCAAUCCCUGUCCCUCAGGUCGGUUUAAGAAGGGGAUUGUGCCGACUUUUCCGAUGCGAGACCACCCAGAAAGAGAAAGCCACCCCAGGGGGACUGGACGCAGAGGGGAAGACGGUGCGAAUUUGAACAGCUAAGCGAUGUGGCCUGACUCACACCUUCUCCAGGACCCACGCCUCUCCCGCUGGUUCCCAUUGGCGGAUUGUUAACAGCUAGGGCGGGGGACGUCCUUCAUCCACCCAAUGAAUGACUAGGGGCGUGGCCUAAGCGCUUUCCGCCGGAAACAAUGUACCCGCAAUUCAAAUCUCCUUACCUUAAGGCUCUUGUGGGUAUCUCAUCUUAUUCUGGAGCACAUCUUUGUACCCUUGGGAUGGUGAGGUGGGGUUGGGGGGUCUCCGGCGAGAUACAGCUUCCUGACCCCCGGGGUGGCAGAGCUCCAGAAUGAGGUUAACCGAUGAGACUGAGAGUCUCUCUUCGUUAAUUAAAGGCGCUCAAGAAAGAGCAGAGAUAAAUUAAAUUCCCUUUAAAGUUUUAAAGUACAUUGUUUAAACUCCCGUGACCGGAGUUGGGAAUGAGCACGGUAACUUCAGAGGGGAGCGCCAAUCCAGGAAGGAGUCAUGUCUUUGACUAUCUCUUAAUGUGUCUUUCCCCCUCCCCCAUCUUGCCACACCUAUAAAGAUAUUCUGAAUUGUGAGGGUCCCUGGGCAUUAGGAUCUGAGAUAUGAAAGGUGAGGAUUUGGACAGGAUAGCUUCUCUUCCAAUUCAAUAAGUGAAGUGGUGUCGGGGGUGGGAUGGAGAAUAUGUAGCUUCCUCUCAUAUAGCUCAGUCUCAUAAGAGGAAAAAACAUCCAGGAAUAAAGAACUUGUGAUGUCAUUAUUUUUGAAAUCUCCCACGCAACUCCCGACCUGUCAGCAUCUGCUCUGCAAUUUAUAAUCCUAGUGAGUUAGCUAGAGCACUGAUAGGUUGAGUGAUUAGGCCACCAUUUAUUAGAAGGAUAUUAUCGAAAGCCUUCCUGGUCCCAAGGCUGGCUUUCUAACCACAUCCACAUAUAUACAUACAACUAAUAUGCAGUAUUACAGAAGUACACUAUAGAGUGGCAGGAUAAUGUACAAUGCAACCACUGAUGAGAAAAGAAGGCUACUAUAGGAAGUGGUGGGGGAUGCUUUCAACUUAAGGUCUCCAGCUCCAGAAUAAGACUUAAAUCCUGUCUGAGUUUUUUCAAAGUCCUCCACAAUCUCAUCCCAAUCACCAAUCAUCCCAAUUUUAUCUUCCAGUCAGACUGGAAUAAGAAACCCUAACACCCCUAUGACCCUUCUUUAGGCUUUCCUAUUUCCUUGUCUUUACUCAUUAUCCUUUCUGAUGUCUCUAGGACAAUCUAGUGCAAUGAUAGUGAAAUUUUUAGACAGUGCCCAAACUGCAAACUGUGUUGGAACAGCCAUCUAGUAACAGCCUCUGGUAAAUUCUGUGUGGUACAAAGAUGAAUGAGAAAGGAAGCUUACCCUCAAAAAACUUAAAAUCUACUAGAAAGAAUGUGGCAUGCACACAAGUGUGAUACCUGGUAGAAUGUGUUAGAAGCAAAGGAGAAACCCAAACAAAA